UGACCUACAGUUUGGGGAGCACAUUGUCCAACUGUUCUAAGCACUGCCCCGAGCACAUCAUCCCCUUAGACUGGGGCUCCGACCCAUCAAAUGCUUCGAAAGCCCUCGGUUUCAGGACCCCAGCCUGGGAAACAGGUGGCCCAGGCCCUGCUCCACGCCCCCGGCUGUCAGGAGCUCACUGCCUGCUGCUUUAACUGACUGAGAUAUUAAAGAGUUCUUCAACGUUCCCAGUAGAAAUAACCAUGCUGCCACGUGCAUCCUCCAUGCUGAUCCUGCCCUUGGAAGCCAGGAAAAACCCUAUGGUCAUGUAUGGCUUUCAAGAGAGGAAAGAGUUGUUGACUCCAUCCAGAUGGGGACUGCGAGGGACUGGUCUGCCCUGGAGCCGGGGAAGGCUUCCAGUGGGUGCAGAGAACCAGAGCAGGAGCCUCUGAUAGACUUGCGACGAUGCGUGUCCACUGGGAGCUCAGGAAGCAUAAAAGGAGCAUGUGCAGGUUUCUCCUGCAAAAGCCCGGGUCAGAGGCACAUCUCCAGCAGGACUGGCAUUCAGAAGGGCUACUUUGGGGAGACAGCUUCUUAAAAAAGGAGCAAUUUACGAUCUCAACAUUUUUGGAGAGAACGUGUUUUAUUCAUUCCCUGCCACAACCCACCUGUUGCAUAUGGCGCUGUGGGCAGCGCAGGAGUUACAGACUUACAGUUACUGGUUGUUCUUCAGACAGGCUGUGCCUUGUCUGGGGGAGGCGCUGAGAGAUGUUUCCUCAAACAGCCAAGAGCAAGAAGGCUAGAGGGAGUGCAUCCGUCAUGCUGGGGGUGCACCAAGGGUCAAGCGUAGGCAAACACAAUUCUGUGCACUCAAUGUGGCAUAUGGAACAUGUACAGAGAACCCGCCAGGAUGGUCACCAAAAUGGAUGGAAAAUGGGAGAAAGGAGAGGAGACGAUGGGGAGAGGCCAGGACAAUUUCCUGCACCAAUUGUCCUGGGUAAUCAGGGCAGUCUCCCUGAGCAGACUGGUAUCCCGGCUUAUGUUUUAUUGCUUGGCCAGUGCACGGCGAGUCUGUUAGGUUUACAUUAAGGCGCAGCACUCAGGAAAACAGCUGCCUUCAAAACAGUGAUUUUUGCUUUCUGGAGCUGCCCUAUCCUUUAGCAGUCUCACCUUCACUCUGCGGUCAAGAAGAUCUGCCUCUUGAAUGCACAAGUCAGAGCAAAACCGUGUCAAAGUUUUUAAACCUAUAACGUUUAACCACACUGUGGAUUCACAAUGUCAAAAAGCCUCAAUCGUCUUCCAAACUGGAAAGUUUAAAGAUACUUAGCACAAAGUUGGAUCAUGGAUCCACUUUUGAAAAAGAAACUUUCCAUUUCAGCUAGAAGAGCAUCACUUUAAGUCGGAGCACUGCCUGAAAGACUGUGUAAACUAUGACCACGAAAUAAGGAACUUUUUAAACAAACACAUUAGAAUGUCUAACCCAAAUAAGUGUCAGUCUUGGGAGCAUCUUUUUCGUCAAAUGAUGCCAUUAUUGCUCAAAGCUUUUUCAAAAUUCUUCUUUCCGAGGAGCCUUCAAAACAACUUGCACAAAAGCAGAAGGAUGUCACCUGACUUGAUAGUCACAGGUUUGCUUUCUUGAUGCAGUGCAAUUUUCUUCUUUUUACACUUUUUGCAACUUUAACCCUGCCCUUCUUCCCUCUUUCACGUCAUGAACUAAUAACCAAGGGAUCCCAAGAGAUGUGUUGUAAUGGUGCUACCUGAGAAAGGAAAGGUCUGGGAGAAAGAGCAUGGGGCUAGUUAUAGCUCAGAAUAGGAGAGACCAAAGGAGCAUGGCCACUGCCUCAAUCCCUUUGGGUAUUGAGUGACUAUAAGAAAUGUAAUUGGAUAACUGGCCAAGUGUCCUCAACACAAAUCAUCUCAAGUUGCACCCCCAUUAAGUCAGGGGAUAUUCCCUGGCUAUAGCCAAGAGGUCGCAUCAUGCAUCUAACAGAGAUCUGGGUUUGGUCAAAGUCUUUUUUUGCAACAGACCAGAACAUGACCGGCCAGCCAUGCUGAAGCUGGUUGCCGCUGGAUGGCAGGGAAUUUUGAGGCAGAGAUAAUGUAGCAAAGAACCAGUUGUUGUUUGGAUUCCCUCAAUGGCAGUAGCUGUAAGAGAGUCUUCUAAGUGUUGGAUUGGACCAAUGUUUGGGGAAAGAUUAGUUUGAGAGAGUUCUAGUUGUGUGGAGCUACAAGAGGAGAAAGAACCAGCUCAGGGUAGGCAAGAAUAACAGAGAACCUGAGGUGUGUACCCAGAUUUGGAACCAACUGGAAGACCUAGUUGGCUUGCUGUAAGGAUUAAAUGAGAUAUUUAUGCAAAUAC